rnacentral:rRNA from 1 species
UACGGGGGGGGCAAGCGUUGUUCGGAAUUACUGGGCGUAAAGGGGACGUAGGCGGCCAACUAAGUCCGACGUGAAAUCCCAAGGCUUAACCUUGGAACUGCGUCGGAUACUGGAUGGCUUGAAUUCGGGAGAGGGAUGCAGAAUUCCAGGUGUAGCGGUGAAAUGCGUAGAUAUCUGGAGGAAUACCGGUGGCGAAGGCGGCAUCCUGGACCGACAUUGACGCUGAAAGCCGAAAGCUAGGGGAGCAAACGGG